CAAAGUCCAAGGGCACUGGCGUUAGAGCCACUUUUGAGAGGAACCUGCAGGAAGAACCCCAGGAGACCACUGUGCGGGGAAACCCAGAGAGCGGAGCACAUCAGGGCAGGGGCCAGCUGAGUUCAGGCUGCAAAGAGAGGGGAGCAUCCACAGCCCUCCACCAUCCUCUGGCCUCCACUUCUUCUUAAGCGGGUAUGAACCAGGCCGCUGCCUCUUCACCUUCGUGGCGCCCCGGACAAGCCUGGACCCUCUGAAACAUCCAUCUGUAGUGUGGACAUUAGUCCUUGGCAGGGAUCCAACAGAGGCCUCAAGGUGAGGCAACACCCAUGUGACUAAAGGAUGGGCUCAUUCCCCAGAUUCCCCAGGUGAAUUCUCUGUCAGAAGUGGGUCCUCGGACAAGAAAGCUGAACUUGGAAGAGAGGCCUCAGACAGGAAAGAGGUCUCCCUCUAAGAGCAGACUUUAUUAUUUUUUUUUAAUUUUUUUUAAUGCUUAUUUAUUUUUGAGACAGAGAGAGACAGAGCUUGAACGGGGGAGGGUCAGAGAGAGGAAGACACAGAAUCCGAAGCAGGCUCCAGGCUCUGAGCUGUCAGCACAGAGCCCGACGUGGGGCUCGAACUCACGGACCGUGAGAUCAUGACCCGAGCCAAAGUCGGACGCCCAACCGACUGAGCCACCCAGGCGCCCCUAAGAGCAGACUUUAGAACUAGAGGCUAGAAACCUAAGAGUGGCCUACAUAAUGUGUGAUUAAAGCAGUCAGACUGCUUGUGUUAAAAUCCAGGCUUUGUCUGUCUGUAUCUUUAUUUUUUAGGAUUGUAUCCCACUGUGAGAGGCACCCCCCCAAAAACACAAUUUUGGUGGGGAGUGGUUAUUUUUCUCAUGUAACAAGAAGUCAAAGAUAGGUAGUCCAGGGCCUGAGUGUGGCUCCAAAUGCCAUAGGAACCCAGGUUCCUCUUAUGCUUCUACCCAGCCUUCCGUAGCAUGCAUUUCUUGCCUCACGGUCACAAGAUGGCUGCCCCAUCUCCAACAUCAAAUCCAAAUUGCAAACUGGAAGAAGAAGGUCAAAGGACCAGUUAAGUCUCCAUCCCUUAUCAGGAGCUUUCUAGCAAGUGCCACACAACCCUUGCCUAUAUCUCAUUGGCUCAAGCUGUGUCACGUGGCAAGACAGGUGGGGAGAUGUAUUUUUUAAUUGAGCAUAUUGUUGCCCCGAACAAAAUCAGAUUUGUAUAAAGAAUAUAAAUUGGUAUAGAGAUUGCAAAGAGAGAGAUGAUGACCAGAUUUCAGGAAGGAGAAGGUAUGGGCUAGAGGUAGAAAAGAGUAACAAUGCCUCCUUGCUGAGAUUAAGGUUCUGAUUAAGAUUCUUUGCUUGACCAAACUUUAGUCAGGCUCCUAAAACUUCUCCUAGGCCCUUCUGUGUGCUUAUCGUAGAAUGCAGUAUGAGCAAGAACUCUGGACCCUGGAUACCUGAGCAUUCUCCACCAUCCCCCAGGUGACAUCUGAUCAUCCUGGCCUGUCUUCAGCAAGAAUCCUGUUAGCACUUCUUACUCUAAAGGCUCAGGGGAUCGGCUGUGACCAGCAGUUGAGCAGGUAGCAGGACAGCAGAAGGGGCACCAGCGUUCCCUAGAGCAUAAAGGAAGAGUUAUGGAGGUGGCAGAGACUUUGGAGGUCGACAGCUUCACUCUCCAUUGCCAAGCAGGCCCUUCAUCUGUCGGGUUCACAAUCUCUCCUCUCCCCCAGCAGCGUCGUAAGCAACGUCACUUAAUGUCUGUCCUCACUUUCUUCUGCUGCAGGCUAAGAGUAUGUGCAAAGAAACCCACUCGUUAAAAAGCGUUCUCUAACCCCUUCUGCGCAUGCCUUUUUGUGUACUGAUGACUAGGUAAGGGAAGGACUAAGCCGGAAUGGGGGCAAGUUCCGUGUCUUCUGCAUCUCUGCACCCUCUGCGUCCACACAGCCCUCGGACCCAAACGAUAGUUGAGAAUGGCUUUGGCCGCCGCCGGCUCCUUCCUCGUCCCUCGGCAGAGACACGCGGCUCCGGAAACUUGACUCAGGCCCUUCCUGGAGUUUCUGGGAAACUCUGGAGUAUCGCCUGCUCUCCCGGGCCGCCUCGCGUCGGCCGAGCGGGGCACCGCUCUCUGCCGCCCUCUGCCGGCGCCACAGUUGGGUUGGGAAGAGCGCACGCGCGAGCGCACGCCAGCGUCCCUCU